AUUGAACGCUGGCGGCAUGCCUUACACAUGCAAGUCGAACGGUAACGCGGGGCAACCUGGCGACGAGUGGCGAACGGGUGAGUAAUGCAUCGGAACGUGCCCAGAAGUGGGGGAUAGCCCGGCGAAAGCCGGAUUAAUACCGCAUGAGACCUGAGGGUGAAAGCGGGGGAUCGCAAGACCUCGCGCUUUUGGAGCGGCCGAUGUCAGAUUAGCUAGUUGGUGGGGUAAAGGCCUACCAAGGCGAAGAUCUGUAGCUGGUCUGAGAGGACGAACAGCCACACUGGGACUGAGACACGGCCCAGACUCCUCCGGGAGGCAGCAGUGGGGAAUUUUAGACAAUGGGCGCAAGCCUGAUCCAGCCAUGCCGCGUGCGGGAAGAAGGCCUUCGGGUUGUAAACCGCUUUUGUCAGGGAAGAAACGCUCUGGGCUAAUACCCUGGGGUAAUGACGGUACCUGAAGAAUAAGCACCGGCUAACUACGUGCCAGCCGCCGCAGUAACAC
rnacentral:rRNA from 1 species